GAUGAACGCCGGCGGCGUGCUUAACACAUGCAAGUCGAACGAUUAAGACGGCUUCGGCCGUGUAUAGAGUGGCGAACGGGUGAGUAACACGUGACCAACCUGCCCCGCGCUCCGGGACAACCGCUGGAAACGGCGGCUAAUACCGGAUGCUCCGGGGAGGCCCCAUGGCCUCCCCGGGAAAGCCUUAACGGCGCGGGAUGGGGUCGCGGCCCAUUAGGUAGACGGCGGGGUAACGGCCCACCGUGCCCGCGAUGGGUAGCCGGACUGAGAGGUCGACCGGCCACAUUGGGACUGAGAUACGGCCCAGACUCCUACGGGAGGCAGCAGUGGGGAAUUUUGCGCAAUGGGGGAAACCCUGACGCAGCAACGCCGCGUGCGGGACGAAGGCCUUCGGGUUGUAAACCGCUUUCAGCAGGGAAGACAUAGACGGUAC
rnacentral:rRNA from 1 species